rnacentral:ncRNA from 31 species
AGCAUAACGAGUGAUGACGAGGGUUCUGGCCCUAUGACUCAUCCGGCAACUUGUCUUGAGUAAAAUCAAAAUAAAGUGCCACUUCCAGCCCGAAAGGGAAAGAUGCGCA